CAACUGCCAGGCAGGCUGCCACCUGGCAGGGCUGCCCCCUGUGGGGGCCUCUGAGACAUAAAGAAGUUUUUGUUUCCUAUGAACGAGACGUGAACUACAAUCUAUGGUGCCCUCUGUGACUAAAACCCACCAAGUGUGAUUUCUGAAAUUCAGGAAGCCAAGAAGGUAUUCUUUAGAGAACUUGAACCAGAGAAUCCCAGACUCAGAUAACAACAGGCAUAGAGGAUGGGGAACCAGGUGCUAGACUGAAAGAAAAGCACUUAGGUGAAAAUCUGGUUUUCCAAGCACCCUUCCUGCCUCUGCUCACGGAACAUGAAUGCCUGGAUAUAUACCACCCAAGCAGAAGCAUAAAGGAAAAUUCUCCAAAGAAAUUCACUGGCUCUGGAGAAAAUCUCCACAGAGACUCCCAUCUAAAAAUGUUCUUCAUCAACUCAGCCAGCUCACCUCCUGACAAUACUUACCGAGGGACAAACCACUCCCAAGCACACAGUUUCCUAAUGGCUCCUUAUUGCAUCAGUUGUUAAUCAUAAAUGAAGAUUCGAAGAUCGCCAGACAUUUGAAGAUGUUCUCAAAGAUGCAAAAAGAGAACUAAGCAAAUAAAUAUAGUUUUUAAGGGACUAAGAAGACAUCGAGGCAGCAGAGGAAACAAAAGUAAAACCAAAAGACAAAAAAAUGAACCGACAGUAAUUAUCAUCAGAGAGUUCUGAAAAAACAUUGCCUUCACAAAACAAGAUAGGAUACAAUAAAAAGGAAUCAUCAGA